AACCCGUUGGCGAGGAGCAGCCAGAGAGCAGGGCUGCGGUGGGGGGGCCGGGGCGGGGCCCCCGGGGCGUGUGUCACGCCAGCCGCCGGGCGGACAACGCCGGCUGGCCGACCGGCGGUGCCCCGGGCGCCCCGGGGCCGCCUCUGUGGGGCCUCUGAGCCCCGUCCCCGUGGACGGCCGCACCCUGCGCUUCCGUUGUGUUUGCUCGACCCCGGAGGAGUCGGGGGCAGGCCCCACUUACCGCUCCGGGAGGCCAAGACCGACAAGAGUGGUAUUUAGUCCUCCGGCAAAUGUCACCACCUGCUAUUAUGCAGCUGUUACUUCGGCCUAUUUUUGAGCACAAGCCGUUCGAUCACUAAAUGGCAAGAACCGUAUGUUUUAAACGCUUCGAAACGAGAACAUGCAGGCUCGUUCCUGGUGCGGCCGCACCAGGGGCGGGAAGACGCUGAGUCUACCGCGGGUGGGACAGGGCUCCCCGCCCCCUCCAGGAGGACCCGCAGGGCGCGUCUGCAGUCCUGGCCGGGACACACACUGCCCGCCGGGGUCCCCGGGGGCCCGGGCAGGGCCGUGUAGGGCAGGCAGGUGGAAGGGGCCGGAGCCCUAGAGCUCCACGGGGACGCCCCACUUUAGAGCAGUCCGCUUUUCAGGGACACAGAAGUAUCUAUCGAUGUGCGGGGACCACAAGGCGCAGAGGUCAAGCGAGAGACCAAAGUGGCGGGGACUGUGUUUGCUUCAGGGGUGGGGGGAGGGGCGCGGGCAGGCGCACGUGUUUCUCAGCGUGGCGUCCGUGUGGCAGUUCACGGGGCUUUGUCACUCAGACAAAUGCAUCUAACAGGAGGAGCUGUGUGUGCACGAGUGAGAGGGCGCUGUACGUCCACGUGCCUGCGUCGCGGAGUUCACGGAACUUUUGAGGGAGCCGAGACCCGGAGGGCUGGACCCUGGACGCGCACGAUGUCUCGUGCAAAGGGAGCCGCCGAGCGCAGCCUCAGGAUGCCAAAGACAGCAGCUGUCCGCCGAGAACCGUGCGCGCACGGCAGCGGUCUCCUGAGUGAGGGCAGAAUAAAGUUCACGGACACACGAGAGUAGGGACGUGUGUCAGGCGCCCUCCUUAAAGGCAAGUCCGAAGGACUGUUUCUUCAAGCAAGAAAACGCUCCUCAAAGGGGCGACGUAUAUGCCAAAAAGUCGGGAGGAAAAAUAAACAGCCAACAUGCACGUUAACCCAAGAGAGCACUUCCAUACAACACAGCAAUAAUUGUGAUAAUAAUAGUGUCUAACCUGUGGGUUAAAAAAAAAGACAGAAAUUGGACGCUAAUAGCAUAAUAAGUCCUUGUAAUAUUAACGAUGGGGGUACUUGAUAUAUUUAAAGUGAGAUACGUAUGUAUGAUUUCCAAGGUAACUGUUAAAGGAAUAAAGUAUAAUUAUGUAAGUAAA